rnacentral:rRNA from 1 species
GAUGAACGCUGGCGGCGUGCCUAAUACAUGCAAGUCGAGCGAACGGACGAGAAGCUUGCUUCUCUGAUGUUAGCGGCGGACGGGUGAGUAACACGUGGAUAACCUACCUAUAAGACUGGGAUAACUUCGGGAAACCGGAGCUAAUACCGGAUAAUAUUUUGAACCGCAUGGUUCAAAAGUGAAAGACGGUCUUGCUGUCACUUAUAGAUGGAUCCGCGCUGCAUUAGCUAGUUGGUAAGGUAACGGCUUACCAAGGCAACGAUGCAUAGCCGACCUGAGAGGGUGAUCGGCCACACUGGAACUGAGACACGGUCCAGACUCCUACGGGAGGCAGCAGUAGGGAAUCUUCCGCAAAGGGCGAAAGCCUGACGGAGCAACGCCGCGUGAGUGAUGAAGGUCUUCGGAUCGUAAAACUCUGUUAUUAGGGAAGAACAUAUGUGUAAGUAACUGUGCACAUCUUGACGGUGCCUAAUCAGAAAGCCACGGCUAACUACGUG